AUGAACGCUGGCGGCGUGCCUAAUCCCUGCAAGUCGAGCGAACAGACGAGGAGCUUGCUCCUCUGACGUUAGCGGCGGACGGGUGAGUAACACGUGGAUAACCUACCUAUAAGACUGGGAUAACUUCGGGAAACCGGAGCUAAUACCGGAUAAUAUAUUGAACCGCAUGGUUCAAUAGUGAAAGACGGUUUUGCUGUCACUUAUAGAUGGAUCCGCGCCGCAUUAGCUAGUUGGUAAGGUAACGGCUUACCAAGGCGACGAUGCGUAGCCGACCUGAGAGGGUGAUCGGCCACACUGGAGCUGAGACACGGUCCAGACUCCUACGGGAGGCAGCAGUAGGGAAUCUUCCGCAAUGGGCGAAAGCCUGACGGAGCAACGCCGCGUGAGUGAUGAAGGUCUUCGGAUCGUAAAACUCUGUUAUUAGGGAAGAACAAAUGUGUAAGUAACUAUGCACGUCUUGACGGUACCUAAUCAGAAAGCCACGGCUAACUACGUG
rnacentral:rRNA from 1 species